rnacentral:piRNA from 1 species
CACAAGAUCAAAAGGAAAAGGACGAGAGAA